rnacentral:rRNA from 1 species
GUACUGCGGAGGACAUUAUUGAUCUUUUGAGGAGUUGUUUGCUGGCCCCUUACAGGGGCAUGUGCACGCUCUGUUCAAAAAUCCAACCUUUCAUACCCCUGUGCACCUUUUGUAGAGUUGUGGCCGUGAGGCUGCACUCUAUGUUCAUUUAUAAACUCUUGAGUAUGUUUAGAAUGUUAUUGCGUGUAACGCAUCUAUAUACAACUUUCAGCAACGGAUCUCUUGGCUCUCGCAUCGAUGAAGAACGCAGCGAAAUGCGAUAAGUAAUGUGAAUUGCAGAAUUCAGUGAAUCAUCGAAUCUUUGAACGCACCUUGCGCUCCUUGGUAUUCCGAGGAGCAUGCCUGUUUGAGUGUCAUGGAAUCAUCAAUCCUCAUCUUUAAUGAUAAGGGUUUGGACUUGGAGGCCUUUGCUGGUUCCGAUCGGCUCCUCUUGAAUGCAUUAGCUUGAACCUAUGCUGUAUCAGCUGUUCGGUGUGAUAAUUGUCUACGCCGUGGCUGUGAGGCUGUGAAAUUUAUAGGAUCAGCUUCCAACUGUCUCUCAUAUGAGACAACAUCUUCAUUGACCUCUGACCUCAAAUCAGGUAGGAUUACCCGCUGAACUUAAGCAUAUCAA